rnacentral:rRNA from 1 species
AAUUUUCCGCAAUGGGCGCAAGCCUGACGGAGCGACGCCGCGUGAGCGAAGAAGGCCUUCGGGUUGUAAAGCUCUGUCUUCAGGGACGAAAGCUUCCCAGAGGGAAUGCUGGGGAGAUGACGGUACCUGAGGAGGAAGCCCCGGCUAACUACGUGCCAGCAGCCGCGGUAAAACGUAGGAUCCGAGCGUUAUCCGAAUUCACUGGGCGUAAAGCGCAUGCAGGCGGCCGCACAAGUUGGAUGUGAAAUCUCCCGGCUCAACUGGGAGGGGACGUUCAAAACUGUGCGGCUCGAGGGCGGUAGAGGAAGGUAGAAUUCCCGGUGUAGUGGUGAAAUGCGUAGAUAUCGGGAGGAAUACCCGUGGCGAAGGCGACCUUCUGGACCGUUUCUGACGCCCAGAUGCGAAAGCUAGGGGAGCGAACGGG